rnacentral:rRNA from 1 species
CCUACGGGUGGCAGCAGUGGGGAAUAUUGGACAAUGGGCGAAAGCCUGAUCCAGCCAUGUCGCGUGUGUGAAGAAGGCCUUCGGGUUGUAAAGCACUUUCAGUGGGGAAGAAAGCCUUGGGGCUAAUACCCUCGAGGAAGGACAUCACCCACAGAAGAAGCACCGGCUAACUCCGUGCCAGCAGCCGCGGUAAUACGGAGGGUGCGAGCGUUAAUCGGAAUUACUGGGCGUAAAGCGCGCGUAGGCGGUCUGAUAAGCCGGUUGUGAAAGCCCCGGGCUCAACCUGGGAACGGCAUCCGGAACUGUCAGGCUAGAGUGCAGGAGAGGAAGGUAGAAUUCCCGGUGUAGCGGUGAAAUGCGUAGAGAUCGGGAGGAAUACCAGUGGCGAAGGCGGCCUUCUGGACUGACACUGACGCUGAGGUGCGAAAGCGUGGGUAGCAAACAGGAUUAGAUACCCGAGUAGUC